UACAGAGGUCCCAAGCGUUGUUCGGAUUCAUUGGGCGUAAAGGGUGCGUAGGCGGCGCGGUAAGUCGGGUGUGAAAUCUUGGAGCUUAACUCCGAAACUGCAUUCGAUACUGCGGUGCUUGAGGACUGGAGAGGAGACUGGAAUUCAUGGUGUAGCAGUGAAAUGCGUAGAGAUCAUGAGGAAGACCAGUGGCGAAGGCGGGUCUCUGGACAGUUCCUGACACUGAGACACGAAGGCCAGGGGAGCGAACAGG
rnacentral:rRNA from 1 species